rnacentral:rRNA from 1 species
UACGGGAGGCAGCAGUGGGGAAUUUUCCGCAAUGGGCGAAAGCCUGACGGAGCAAUACCGCGUGAGGGAUGACGGCCUAUGGGUUGUAAACCUCUUUUUUCAGGGAGGAAUAAAUGACGUGUACCUGAAGAAUAAGCAUCGGCUAACUCCGUGCCAGCAGCCGCGGUAAGACGGGGGAUGCAAGUGUUAUCCGGAAUCACUGGGCGUAAAGCGUCUGUAGGUGGUUUAAUAAGUCAACUGUUAAAUCUUGAGGCUCAACCUCGAAAUCGCAGUCGAAACUAUUAGACUAGAGUAUAGUAGGGGUAAAGGGAAUUUCCACGUGGAGCGGUGAAAUGCGUAGAUAUUGGAAAGAACACCGAUGGCGAACGGCACUUUACUGGGCUAUUACUAACACUGAGAGACGAAAGCUAGGGUAGCAAAUGGGAUUAGAUACCCCAGUAGUCCUACGCCGUAAACAAUGGAUACUAGAUGUUGAACAGAUCGACCUGUGCAGUAUCAAAGCUAACCGCGUUAANUAUCCCGCCUGGGAAGUAUGCUCGCAAGAGUGAAACUCAAAGG